GGGUUUCUAACCUGCCGCCAUGAAUCUGGCGGGGGGACACUGUUAGACGGGCAGUUUGACUGGGGCGGUCGCCUCCUAAAAAGUAACGGAGGCGCUCAAAGGUUAGCUCACCAUGGACGGAAACCAUGCAAUAGAGUGUAAACGCAAAAGCUAGCCUAACUGCGAGAGAGACAUUUCGAGCAGUAACGAAAGUUGGAGUUAGUGAUCCGGUGGUAUGUGAGUGGAAAUGCCAUCGCUCAACGGAUAAAAGCUACCCUGGGGAUAACAGGCUGAUCUCCCCCAAGCGUCCACAUCGACGGGGAGGUUUGGCACCUCGAUGUCGGC
rnacentral:rRNA from 1 species